CCGAAGCUGCGGCAGCGACACUAUGUGUUGUUGGGUAGGGGAGCGUUCUGUAAGCCUGUGAAGGUGUGUCGUGAGGCAUGCUGGAGGUAUCAGAAGUGCGAAUGCUGACAUAAGUAACGAUAAAGCGGGUGAAAAGCCCGCUCGCCGGAAGACCAAGGGUUCCUGUCCAACGUUAAUCGGGGCAGGGUGAGUCGACCCCUAAGGCGAGGCCGAAAGGCGUAGUCGAUGGGAAACGGGUUAAUAUUCCCGUACUUGGUGUUACUGCGAAGGGGGGACGGAGAAGGCUAUGUUGGCCGGGCGACGGUUGUCCCGGUUUAAGCGUGUAGGUGUGUGUUCCAGGUAAAUCCGGUUCACUUUAACACUGAGGCGUGACGACGAGGCACUACGGUGCUGAAGCAACAAAUGCCCUGCUUCCAGGAAAAGCCUCUAAGCAUCAGGUAACAUCAAAUCGUACCCCAAACCGACACAGGUGGUCAGGUAGAGAAUACCAAGGCGCUUGAGAGAACUCGGGUGAAGGAACUAGGCAAAAUGGUGCCGUAACUUCGGGAGAAGGCACGCUGACACGUAGGUGAAGUGAUUUACUCAUGGAGCUGAAGUCAGUCGAAGAUACCAGCUGGCUGCAACUGUUUAUUAAAAACACAGCACUGUGCAAACACGAAAGUGGACGUAUACGGUGUGACGCCUGCCCGGUGCCGGAAGGUUAAUUGAUGGGGUCAGCGCAAGCGAAGCUCCUGAUCGAAGCCCCGGUAAACGGCGGCCGUAACUAUAACGGUCCUAAGGUAGCGAAAUUCCUUGUCGGGUAAGUUCCGACCUGCACGAAUGGCGUAAUGAUGGCCAGGCUGUCUCCACCCGAGACUCAGUGAAAUUGAACUCGCUGUGAAGAUGCAGUGUACCCGCGGCAAGACGGAAAGACCCCGUGAACCUUUACUAUAGCUUGACACUGAACAUUGAGCCUUGAUGUGUAGGAUAGGUGGGAGGCUUUGAAGUGUGGACGCCAGUCUGCAUGGAGCCGACCUUGAAAUACCACCCUUUAAUGUUUGAUGUUCUAACGUGGACCCGUGAUCCGGGUUGCGGACAGUGUCUGGUGGGUAGUUUGACUGGGGCGGUCUCCUCCUAAAGAGUAACGGAGGAGCACGAAGGUUGGCUAAUCCUGGUCGGACAUCAGGAGGUUAGUGCAAUGGCAUAAGCCAGCUUGACUGCGAGCGUGACGGCGCGAGCAGGUGCGAAAGCAGGUCAUAGUGAUCCGGUGGUUCUGAAUGGAAGGGCCAUCGCUCAACGGAUAAAAGGUACUCCGGGGAUAACAGGCUGAUACCGCCCAAGAGUUCAUAUCGACGGCGGUGUUUGGCACCUCGAUGUCGGCUCAUCACAUCCUGGGGCUGAAGUAGGUCCCAAGGGUAUGGCUGUUCGCCAUUUAAAGUGGUACGCGAGCUGGGUUUAGAACGUCGUGAGACAGUUCGGUCCCUAUCUGCCGUGGGCGCUGGAGAACUGAGGGGGGCUGCUCCUAGUACGAGAGGACCGGAGUGGACGCAUCACUGGUGUUCGGGUUGUCAUGCCAAUGGCACUGCCCGGUAGCUAAAUGCGGAAGAGAUAAGUGCUGAAAGCAUCUAAGCACGAAACUUGCCCCGAG
rnacentral:rRNA from 1 species